rnacentral:rRNA from 1 species
ACGGAGGGUGCGAGCGUUAUUCGGAAUUAUUGGGCGUAAAGAGCGUGUAGGCGGCCGGUUAAGUCAGGUGUGAAAGCCCAGGGCUCAACCCUGGAAGGGCACUUGAAACUGAUCGACUUGAGUUCGGGAGAGGGAAGCGGAAUUCCGGGUGUAGAGGUGAAAUUCGUAGAUAUCCGGAGGAACACCGGUGGCGAAGGCGGCUUCCUGGACCGAAACUGACGCUGAGACGCGAAAGCGUGGGGAGCAAACAGG